AUUGAACGCUGGCGGCAGGCCUAACACAUGCAAGUCGAGCGAGCGGCGGACGGGUGAGUAAUGUAUGGGGACUGCCCGAUAGAGGGGGAUAACUACUGGAAAAGGUGGCUAAUACCGCAAACUAUCGGUUAACUGAGGUGGGAUUAGCUAGUAGGUGGGGUAAAGGCUCACCUAGGCGACGAUGCCUAGCUGGUCUGAGAGGAUGAUCAGCCACACUGGGACUGAGACACGGCCCAGACUCCUACGGAGGCAGCAGUAGGGAAUAUUGCGCAAUGGGCGAAAGCCUGAUGCAGCCACGCCGCGUGAGUGAAGAAGGCCUUAGGGUUGUAAAAUACUUUCGGCGGGGAGGCGUUACCCGCACAGAAAGCCCCGGCUAACUCCGUGCCAGCCGCCGCGGUAAUUC
rnacentral:rRNA from 1 species